rnacentral:rRNA from 1 species
UACAGAGGUCUCAAGCGUUGUUCGGAUUCAUUGGGCGUAAAGGGUGCGUAGGCGGCGCGGUAAGUCGGGUGUGAAAUCUCGGGGCUUAACUCCGAAACUGCAUUCGAUACUGCCGUGCUUGAGGACUGGAGAGGAGACUGGAAUUACGGUGUAGCGGUGAAAUGCGUAGAUAUCGUAAGGAAGACCAGUGGCGAAGGCGGGUCUCUGGACAGUUCCUGACACUGAGACACGAAGGCCAGGGGAGC